UCGCUUUCAUUCUGGACACGGCCGCAUG
rnacentral:sRNA from 1 species